rnacentral:rRNA from 1 species
AUUGAACGCUGGCGGCAGGCUUAACACAUGCAAGUCGAGCGGAGAUGAGGUGCUUGCACCUUAUCUUAGCGGCGGCCGGGUGAGUAAUGCUUAGGAAUCUGCCUAUUAGUGGGGGACAACAUUCCGAAAGGAAUGCUAAUACCGCAUACGCCCUACGGGGGAAAGCAGGGGAUCUUCGGCCCUUGCGCUAAUAGAUGAGCCUAAGUCGGAUUAGCGAGUUGGUGGGGUAAAGGCCUACCAAGGCGACGAUCUGUAGCGGGUCUGAGAGCAUGAUCCGCCACACUGGGACGGAGACACGGCCCAGACUCCUACGGGAGGCAGCAGUGGGGAAUAUUGGACAAUGGGCGGAAGCCUGAUCCAGCCAUGCCGCGUGUGUGAAGAAGGCCUUUUGGUUGUAAAGCACUUUAAGCGAGGAGGAGGCUACCUGGAUUAAUACUCUAGGAUAGUGGACGUUACUCGCAGAAUAAGCACCGGCUAACUCUGUGCCAGCAGCCGCCGUAACAC